UUUAAAGUGUAAAGUAAGUCGCUUUGGAUAAAAGCGUCUGCUAAAUGACAUGUA
rfam:Gasterosteus aculeatus cont1.008218, whole genome shotgun sequence.